UAAAACAUAAAUGAAUCAAAACUUCAACAACGGAUCUCUUGGUUCUGGCAUCGAUGAAGAACGCAGCGAAAUGCGAUAAGUAAUGUGAAUUGCAGAAUUCAGUGAAUCAUCGAAUCUUUGAACGCACAUUGCGCCCUCUGGUAUUCCGGAGGGCAUGCCUGUUCGAGCGUCAUUUCAACCCUCAAGCCUGGCUUGGUGAUGGGGCACUGCUUCUUACCCAAGAAGCAGGCCCUGAAAUUCAGUGGCGAGCUCGCCAGGACCCCGAGCGCAGUAGUUAAACCCUCGCUCUGGAAGGCCCUGGCGGUGCCCUGCCGUUAAACCCCCAACUUCUGAAAAUUUGACCUCGGAUCAGGUAGGAAUACCCGCUGAACUUAAGCAUAUCAAUAAGCGGAGGAAAAGAAACCAACAGGGAUUGCCCUAGUAACGGCGAGUGAAGCGGCAACAGCUCAAAUUUGAAAUCUGGCCUCGGCCCGAGUUGUAAUUUGCAGAGGAUGCUUCUGGCGCGGUGCCUUCCGAGUUCCCUGGAACGGGACGCCACAGAGGGUGAGAGCCCCGUAUGGUCGGACACCAAGCCUGUGUGAAGCUCCUUCGACGAGUCGAGUAGUUUGGGAAUGCUGCUCUAAAUGGGAGGUAAAUCUCUUCUAAAGCUAAAUACCGGCCAGAGACCGAUAGCGCACAAGUAGAGUGAUCGAAAGAUGAAAAGCACCUUGAAAAGGGGGUUAAAUAGUACGUGAAAUUGUUGAAAGGGAAGCACUUAUGACCAGACUUGGGCCGGGCGGCUCAUCAGGGGUUCUCCCCUGUGCACUCCGCCCGGCACAGGCCAGCAUCGGUUCUCGUGGGGGGAUAAGACCGUCAGGAACGUAGCACCCUCCGGGGUGUGUUAUAGCCUGGCGGACGAUACCCCCGUGGGGACCGAGGUCCGCGCUCCGCAAGGA
rnacentral:rRNA from 1 species